ensembl:snRNA U6 U6 spliceosomal RNA
GUGCUCAUUUUGGCAGCACAUAUACUAAAAUCAGAACAAUACAGAGAAGAUUAGCAGGGCUCUUGCAUGAGGAUGACAUAAAAAUCAGUGAAACAUUAGAUGAUGAU